rnacentral:misc_RNA from 1 species
AAAUGAUAGAUUUAAUUUCUUUAUUUGAUGUAUUUAAGUUUGUUACUUAAUUUUGUGUAUUAGUUUUACUUCUAUUUUUAGAUAACGAUUUAUUUUAUGAACUUUGCUAAUUUUUCACAAAAAAAAAAAUGAAUAUGGACAGGCAAUUACUGUUAUGUUACAACCAUUAGAGGCCUAUUUUUGUUAUGUGCGACUAUGAUGUAAAUCCAUGUGAUGGAGAGCCUAGUUUCAAGCCUAGUUUAGCAUUGAGACCUGCUUGUUUGUAAUCCACACUCCUUGGCUCGUGAUUUCAAUAUAGAGAUACACAUUCUCAAUUUUAUUAGCUCAAAU